GACGAACGCUGGCGGCGUGCCUAAUACAUGCAAGUCGAACGCAGUGGGGACGGGUGAGUAACACGUGGGUAACCUCCCAUCAGAGGGGCUUACACUUGGAAACAGGUGCUAAACCGAUACUGAUGGAUGGACCCGCGGGUCAUUAGCUAGUUGGGUAGGUAACGGCUCACCAAGGCCACUAGGCAGAGCCGAGCUGAGAGGGUGAUCGGCCAGACUGGGACUGAGACACGGCCCAGACGCCUACGGGAGGCAGCAGGAGGGAAGCUUCGGCAAUGGACGAAAGUCUGACCGAGCAACGCAGCGUGAGUGAAGAAGGGUUGCGGUCGUAAAACUCUGUUGUUAGAGAAGCGGUAUCUAACCAGAAAGCCACGGCUAACUACGUGCCAGCAGCCGCGGUAAUAC
rnacentral:rRNA from 1 species